GACGAACGCUGGCGGCGUGCUUAACACAUGCAAGUCGAACGGAAAGGCCUGCUUUCCCUUGUGGAUUGCGGGUACUCGAGUGGCGAACGGGUGAGUAACACGUGAGUGAUCUGCCCCCAACUUGGGUAUAAGCCUGGGAAACUGGGUCUAAUUCCCGAUAGGACUGCAGGGUGGUGCCUGUGGUGGAAAACGAUUUGCUAGUGGUUGGGGAUGAGCUCGCGGCCUAUCAGCUUGUUGGUGGGGUAAUGGCCUACCAAGGCGGCGACGGGUAGCCGGCCUGAGAGGGUGGACGGCCACAUUGGGACUGAGAUACGGCCCAGACUCCUACGGGAGGCAGCAGUGGGGAAUAUUACACAAUGGGCGGAAGCCUGAUGCAGCGACGCCGCGUGGGGGAUGACGGCCUUCGGGUUGUAAACUCCUUUCGACCGCGAGGAAGCCACCUGGUUGGAAGGGUGGUGACGGUAGUGGUAGAAGAAGCACCGGCUAACUACGUG
rnacentral:rRNA from 1 species